rnacentral:misc_RNA from 1 species
UUUCCGUAGGUGAACCUGCGGAAGGAUCAUUAGUGAAUUGAAUAUGUUAGCGGACCUCUUCGGAGUCCCUAGCAUCAAAUCAUAUCCAUAACACCUGUGAACUGUAAGGCUGUCUUGACAACGAAAGUGAUUAGAGCGCCUGCCCAUUUUAUACAAACAUUAAAGUAACAAACGUAGUAUUAUUAUAAUCUAAUAAAACUUUCAACAACGGAUCUCUUGGCUCUC